AGGAUGGGGACAACAGACGGAAACGACUGCUAAUACCGAAUACGCUUGGAAGACCGCACGAUCUUCCAAGGAAAGGGUGGCCUCUACCUGUAAGCUAUCGCCUGAAGAGGGGUUUGCGUCUGAUUAGGCAGUUGGUGAGGCAACGGCCCACCAAACCUACGAUCAGUAGCCGGUCUGAGAGGAUGAACGGCCACACUGGAACUGAGACACGGUCCAGACUCCUACGGGAGGCAGCAGUGGGGAAUCUUCCGCAAUGGGCGAAAGCCUGACGGAGCAACGCCGCGUGAGUGAUGACGGCCUUCGGGUUGUAAAGCUCUGUGAUCGGGGACGAACGGUCCGUAAGCCAAUACCUUAUGGAAGUGACGGUACCCGAAUAGCAAGCCACGGCUAACUACGUGCCAGCAGCCGCGGUAAUACGUAGGUGGCAAGCGUUGUCCGGAAUUAUUGGGCGUAAAGCGCGCGCAGGCGGCUUUUUAAGUCCAUCUUAAAAGUGCGGGGCUUAACCCCGUGAUGGGAUGGAAACUGGAAAGCUGGAGUAUCGGAGAGGAAAGUGGAAUUCCUAGUGUAGCGGUGAAAUGCGUAGAGAUUAGGAAGAACACCGGUGGCGAAGGCGACUUUCUGGAC
rnacentral:rRNA from 1 species